UUGUGAAACCGCGCCGCGGACCUUCUUAAUUAGAGGGUUAGUAGCGCGGUCUGUCGGAUGUGGCGGUCCGGCACUGAUGAGCAGCUAACC
rnacentral:hammerhead_ribozyme from 1 species